GGAUGUGUGCUCGCUAAGACAUCGCGUCUUAUGCCUACGUAUCUCAUCUGGCCUGAGAAUCAGAGCAAAACGUAGUUCGGCUAACUAUGGGGUUAUGGAUAGGGUUUUGGACGAACGACGUCACUACACAAUCUACCGGAUGCUCGACCUUUGGAGACUUACUCGCCUGUAGUAGAAGGAGUUAACGUGUUGCUUUGGGUUUUAGGGUUUGGGAUGCUCAAGGGCAAAAAGGC
rnacentral:lncRNA from 1 species